rnacentral:rRNA from 1 species
CCUACGGGAGGCAGCAGUGAGGAAUAUUGGACAAUGGGCGCAAGCCUGAUCCAGCCAUGCCGCGUGCAGGAAGACGCAUCUAUGGUGUGUAAACUGCUUUUGUACGGGAAGAAACACUCCUUCGUGAAGGAGCUUGACGGUACCGUAAGAAAUAAGGAUCGGCUAACUCCGUGCCAGCAGC